GGAUCUAUAGUUCAGUGGUUUAGAACACCAUGCCGUUAAAAGCUGGAGGCUCGGGUUCGAUUCCCGGUGGUUCCU